GCAGCAGCCACGGUAAUACGGAGGGCGCGAGCGUUACCCGGAUUUACUGGGCGUAAAGGGCGUGUAGGCGGCCUGGGGCGUCCCACGUGAAAGGCCACGGCUCAACCGUGGAGGAGCGUGGGAUACGCUCAGGCUAGAGGGUGGGAGAGGGUGGUGGAAUUCCCGGAGUAGCGGUGAAAUGCGCAGAUACCGGGAGGAACGCCGAUGGCGAAGGCAGCCACCUGGUCCACUUCUGACGCUGAGGCGCGAAAGCGUGGGGAGCAAACCGGAUUAGAGACCCCGGUAGUCCCUGUCUCUUAUAC
rnacentral:rRNA from 1 species